rnacentral:rRNA from 1 species
AGCUCCAAUAGCGUAUAUUAAAGUUGUUGCAGUUAAAAAGCUCGUAGUCGGAUUUCAGGGCGGGGCUGCCGGUCUGCCGAUGGGUAUGCACUGGUGGGCUCGUUCUUCCUUCUGGGGACUGCGCCUACUCUUGACUGAGCGGGCGUAGGAAACAGGACUUUUACUUGAAAAAUCAGAGUGUUUAAAGCAGGCCAAGAUGCUCUUGCAUGGAUUAGCAUGGGAUAAUGGAAUAGGACUUUGGUGCUAUUUUGUUGGUUUCGAACACCGAAGUAAUGAUUGAUAGGGACAGUUGGGGCGGUCCGUAUUCCAAAGCGAGAGGUGAAAUUCUUAGACCUUCGGAAGACGAACAGCUGCGAAAGCGUUCCGCAAGGAUGUUCCCUUUGAUCAAGAACG